GCCACUACAUAGAGAAGAGAUAUGAUAGAAAAAUUGUAUGAUUAGUGAAAAUUUAUUACUACAUCUCUUACAUACGUUUGCUACUCUGUUCUAUUUUAAAAUUGUCUUUAAUGUUAGAUUGCAUUGUAGGUCUUUCAUCAGGUUCAGGCUUUUGUAAGUGUUUCUCAUCUACAUAAUCAAUAUGCGUAAAUGAAUGAACUACAUAAAGAAUAAAAUGAUCACAUUAAUAAAAAUAUU
rnacentral:misc_RNA from 1 species